UGGGAAUUUUGGACAAUGGGCGCAAGCCUGAUCCAGCCAUGCCGCGUGCGGGAAGAAGGCCUUCGGGUUGUAAACCGCUUUUGUCAGGGAAGAAAUCUUCUGAGUUAAUACCUCGGGAGGAUGACGGUACCUGAAGAAUAAGCACCGGCUAACUACGUGCCAGCAGCCGCGGUAAUACGUAGGGUGCAAGCGUUAAUCGGAAUUACUGGGCGUAAAGCGUGCGCAGGCGGUUUUGUAAGACAGAGGUGAAAUCCCCGGGCUCAACCUGGGAACUGCCUUUGUGACUGCAAGGCUUGAGUGCGGCAGAGGGGGAUGGAAUUCCGCGUGUAGCAGUGAAAUGCGUAGAUAUGCGGAGGAACACCGAUGGCGAAGGCAAUCCCCUGGGCCUGCACUGACGCUCAUGCACGAAAGCGUGGGGAGCAAACAGGAUUAGAUACCCUGGUAGUCCACGCCCUAAACGAUGUCAACUGGUUGUUGGGAAGGUUCCUUCUCAGUAACGUAGCUAACGCGUGAAGUUGACCGCCUGGGGAGUACGGCCGCAAGGUUGAAACUCAAAUGAAUUGAC
rnacentral:rRNA from 1 species